AGUGAACGCUGGCGGUAGGCCUAAUACAUGCAAGUCGAACGGCAGCACAGUAAGAGCUUGCCCUUACGGGUGGCGAGUGGCGGACGGGUGAGGAAUACAUCGGAAUCUACUUUUUCGUGGGGGAUAACGUAGGGAAACUUACGCUAAUACCGCAUACGAUCUACGGGUGAAAGCAGGAGAUCUUCGGACCUUGCGCGAUUGAAUGAGCCGAAGUCGGAUUAGCUAGUUGGCGGGGUAAAGGCCCACCAAGGCGACGAUCCGUAGCUGGUCUGAGAGGAUGAUCGGCCACACUGGAACUGAGACACGGUCCAGACUCCUACGGGAGGCAGCAGUAGGGAAUCUUGGACAAUGGGCGCAAGCCUGAUCCAGCCAUACCGCGUGAGUGAUGAAGGUCUUCGGAUUGUAAAGCCCUGUUAUUAGGAAAGAACAUCUGCGUAUUUAUCCCCGGCUGUUCUGACGGUACCCAAAGAGUAAGCCCCGGCUAACUUCGUG
rnacentral:rRNA from 1 species